rnacentral:lncRNA from 1 species
AAAGGGCAGGGACGUAGUCAACGCAAGCUGAUGACUCGUGCUUACUAAGAAUUCCUCGUUGAAGACCAACAAUUGCAAUGUUCUAUCCCCAUCACGAUGAAAUUUCAAAGAUUACCCGGGCCAGUCGGCCAAGGCUAUAGACUCGUUGAAUACAUCAGUGUAGCGUGCGUGCGGCCGAGAACAUCUAAGGGCACCAUAGACCUGUUAUUGCCUCAAACUUCCGUGGCCUAAAAGGCCAUAGUCCAUCUAAGAAGCUAGCCACGGAGGAUCACCUCCGUGUAGCUAGUUAGCAGGCUGAGGUCUCGUUUGUUAACGGAAUUAACCAGACAAACCGCUCCACCAACUAAGAAUGGCCAUGCACCACCACCCAUAGAAUCAAGAAAGAGCUCACAGUCUGUCAAUCCUUACUAUGUCUGGACCUGGUAAGUUUCCCCGUGUUGAGUCAAAUUAAGCCGCAGGCUCCACUCCUAGUGGUGCCCUUCCUUCAAUUCCUUUAAGUUUCAGCCUUGCGACCAUACUCCCCCUGGAACCCAAAGACUUUGAUUUCUCAUAAGGUGCCGACAGAGUCCUAAAAGCAACAUCCGCUGAUCCCUGGUCGGCAUCGUUUAUGGUUGAGACUAGGACUGUAUCUGAUCGUCUUUGAGCCCUCAACUUUCGUUCUUGACUAAUGAAAAUAUCCUUGGCAAAUGCUUUCAUAGUUGUUCGUCUUUCAUAAAUCCAAGAAUUUCACCUCUGACUAUGAAAUACGAAUGCCCCUGACUGUUCCUAUUAAUCAUUACUUCGAUCCCGAAAGCCAACAAAUAGGAUCGAAAUCCUAUGAUGUUAUCCCAUGCUAAUGUAUAAAAGCGUAGGCCUACUUUGAGCACUCUAAUUUCUUCAAAGUAACAGCGCCGGAGGAACGACCCGGACAAUUAAAGCCAGGAGCACAUCGCCGGCAGUAGGGAUGAGCAAACCAGCGCUCACCGUGAGGCGGACCGGCCGAACCACCCCAAAGUCUAACUACGAGCUUUUUAACUGCAACAACUUAAAUAUACGCUAUUGGAGCUGGAAUUUCCGCGGCUGCUGGCACCAAACUUACCCUCCAAUGGAUCCUCGUUAAGGGAUUUAGAUUGUACUCAUUCCAAUUACCAGACUCAUAGAGCUCGGUAUUGUUAUUUAUUGUCACUACCUCCCCGUGUCCGGAUUGGAUAAUUUGCACGCCCGCUGCCUUCCUUAGAUGUGGUAGCCGUUUCUUAGGCUCCAUUUCUAGAAUCGAACCCUAAUUCUCCAUCACCUGUCACGACCAUAGUAAGCCACUAUCCUACCAUCGAAAGUUGAUAGGGUAGAAAUUUGAAUGAUGUGUCGCCGGCACAAAGGUCGUGCAAUCCGUCGAGUUAUCAUGAAUCAUCAGUGCAACGGGCAAAGCCCGCGUCGACCUUUUAUCUAAUAAUUGCAUCCCUUCCAGAAGUCGGUGUUUGUUGCACGUAUUAGCUCUAGAAUUACUACGGUUAUCCGAGUAGCAAAUACCAUCAAACAAACUAUAACUGAUUUAAUGAGCCAUUCCCAGUUUCACAGUCUGAAUUUGUUCAUACUUACACAUGCAUGGCUUAAUCUUUGAGACAAGCAUAUGACUACUAAAAGGAUCAACCAGGUAGCAUUCCUCCGCGAUGUCGGCACUGCAUGGCUCUCAACAUGCCGUGUGAGCAACGAAGAGGUCAUAACAGAGCACGAGCAUCGUUCGUGUCAAGAGACAAAAUGCAUAGGCAUCGAGAGACAAGGGCCUAAACCCUACUCUCAAAAAUAUUUUCCGCAUCCGAAAGCACGAACGAGCACCAGUGCACCAACGAGGCCACACUGAUUUAAGGGGGCACACUCGGGACACAGGGCACGAUUGUAGUCCACCACGUACUGCAAAGGGCACGAGAUGAAGAAGGGGCGGCAACACAUCCAUAUUUCCAUCUGGCUUAGGUACGCAACAGAGGAUCCCGAUCGCACCCCUUGGGUUCAAUUAGAAUAAGGGGAGUCAAUAAAGAGGAUGUGGCUCGACAGUUCGAUGCGGGUAGCAUGGAGCCUUCUAAUACACAUAACCAAAACACCACUCAUAUGCCCAUUGCGUACUAGUAGUAGCACCCACGCACACUGGCCAACAACCCACCCAACCAAUGUAUUGGUAGAGGAGCGGAAGGAACAGUGAAACGAGGGCACACCACAAAUGAUUGGCAUGAGAACUACGAGGGAAAAAAUCCCAGUGGGACUUGGUUGAGCCAAGACCGAGCUUACAAACUCAACUUACGCCCCCCAGUGAGCCGUUACCGUCAAAGGGACUUGGUACUGGGGUCACGGGCAGCUUCGAAUGUAGGCAAGGCCUUGGCAAGACCAAGGCACCGAUGGGUCGCCAACUUGGGAGGUAUAAGGCGUUCCUAACAUGUAGGGGAGAAUGGGCAAGCCAAGCUCGAGCCCAUAGCAAUGCAUAAGCCACCCCAGGAGAUCUUUGCCCGAUAUAGAGAACCUGGUCCUAGAGUCGUUGGCUACAUUUCUAUGGGCACGGGCUUGACCGGCCGAAAAAUCAUCACCCCGACCACUAGUGCCAGCGAUCGACCCACCAGUAUUGGUGAGUCAUUGCAGGACUAUCUGACCCCCGUGGGGGCUGCGGACGCACCCCACCUCGGGUUAGAGGAGGGGGCACAUCAGGGGGCAGCGGAUCUCUACCCCUUAAAGAGCUAAAAAAAACUUCGUCAAUCUGCUACUAGGCAACAUUCUUUUUUUUUUGAGCAAAAAAACAACCACAAAGGGUCAAAACACUAUAUUACGUAACAUCAGUAAUUACAUCAUUGUGGAUUUCAAUAGGAUAAUCCAUCUCAAAAAGCCACGUCAUUUUCUCUCCACACAUUUUAGUACAUAUAAAAUCUGCUACUUUAUUACCGGCCUUAGCAGUCCAAAUUAAAUCGGCAGAAUUGAAGCUUUCGAAAGAAGCAGUGCAAUUUUUUAUGCGCGCGCCAAGAACAGUAAUAUCCGUACCAAUAUUCCUAAAUUUGUUGACCAAAGCCGCAUUAUCCGUUUCAAAAAUCACAUCUCCCUUAAUAUUCAGCUUGGUUGCCAGCAGGAUGCUCUUUUCGAACGCCACACAUUCAGCUUCAAGCACCGACAAUCGUGUUUCAAUAAAGCCCCCUCCACCGCCCAACACAAAACCAUCAUCAUCCCUCACAAUCGCCCCGUACCCCACACAGUUUAUCCCCACAGUAGCGUCGAAGUUGACUUUAACAAAUCCCUUCAGAGGUUUUUUCCAUUUCUUAGCCUCAAUAUUAGACGAUAAUAGUGGCUCUUUAACAGGUUACAAAUGCGGAAGUCUUCACUUAAAGCUCUAUCCCUCUCCCAAAUGACUGUAGCCUCCUCUUCUUUUCCCCUGAAAAUGAAAUUAUUUCUAUUGUUCCAGCAAUUCCAUAGUAAAACCAUCAAGUCUGCCAUAGCUUUCUCGUCGAGAACCCUCAACAUAUCCUCAAACCAAUCAAUACAGUGGUCGUACUUCUUCGAGACCAUUCUCUCGGACCACCCUGCCAACGAAAGGACCUCACAUGAUGUUGGGCAAUCCUUCAGCGCAUGAAGAAGAGUUUCGGCUUCAGCUCCGCACCUUUGGCACCCUUUAGCAAAUCCAUUUCUAAUAGAGGCAAUUUUGACAUUUGUCGGGAGAAUCUCGUGCCCCACACGCCAGGAGAAAACCCGAAUUUUCGGCAAAGUAUCAAGUUUCCAGAGAGCUUUCCAAACAAGUCUGUGAGGUCCGUACCCCAUUUCUUUCAAGAGUAGCCAUGAGUAAGCUGACUUCGUAGUGAAACACCCAUGCGGGUUGUGAAACCAAAUCAACUUAUCUCCCUGUUCCUUAUCUCCGAUAGGCACGUUGCAAAUCUUAUCACCCCAAUCUUGCCCAUACACCUUGUAAACUUUCUCCACAUUCCAACUCUUCCCAUCCGUAAGCCAUAGGUCUUUCACACUCAAUUCAUUUGGGUUGAGACAUUCCUCUCUAAUAGCAUCCCCAUUGAGACCCUCCGUUCCCCAGUUAUCAGUCCGGAUAUUGAUUAUAUCGCCAUUUCCAACCUGCCACCCAAAGCCGUCUUUGAGAGCUUCCGCCGCUAUCGCAAUGCUUGACCAGGUAAAAGACGCUUUGUCCACUUUUUUGGCUUUAAAAAUAUUACCAUCGGGAAAAUAUUUCGAAGACAACACUUUAAAACAUAAAGAAUCUUUAUUGUUUAUAAGCCUCCAUACUUGACGCCCCAAAAGAGCCAAGUUGAACAAUCUAACAUCUCUGAUUCCAAGCCCUCCCAUGCCCUUCGGUUUACACAAGGUCUUCCAAGGUAGCAUUGCCCAAAAUCUGCCUUUAUCUUUUCCAACCCACCACAUUUUGCUUAGUUUAGCUUGGAUAUCCUCGAUCACUCUUUUGGGGGCUAAGAAAAUCGACAGCGCAUAUGUUGGUAUAGAUUGAAGGACGGCUUUAAUGAACACUUCUUUACCACCAAAGGAGAGCAGCCUCUUUGUCCAACUGGUGAUCCUGCAAGAUAAUAUGUUAUUAAUAACAUUAAAAGCCUUUUUUUUCUUCUUACCUAUCGGGAUGGGGAGACCAAGGUAGCUGUUUAAAUUUUCCACCACCGUCAUGCCCAACAGAUCACUAAAAUUAUUUCUAACAACCCUAGGAGUGUUAGGACUAAAGAGAAUCAUUAAUUUUUCACAAUUGAUCUCUUGUCCAGAAAUGUUAGAAAAAGAUUUAAACAAAUGGACCAACAUUUCAACAUCACUCUUUUUAUUUCUCACGAAGAGAAGCGCGUCGUCCGCAAAGAAUAAAUGAUUUAUCCUCGGACCAUUUAUACUGGCCCGAAUGCCACUUAAAAAAUUAUUAUCCUGAGCUUGGAUCAGCAUUCUCGAGAACGCUUCUAUGCAAAACAAAAACAAAUAGGGAGAAAGGGGGUCUCUUUGACGAAGACCCCUCUCGGGAAUAAUAAUGUCGGAUAAAAUAUUAUUGCAUUUAACCAUAUAUUUAACCGAACGAACGCAUUUCAUAAUAUUUUCGAUCCACUUCAUGUCAAAUCCCAUUUUUUGCAUAAUUGUUUCGAUGAAAUCCCACUCCACGCGGUCAUACGCUUUGCUCAUGUCGAGCUUAACCACGAACCCUUUCUUAGGUCCAUUUUUAGAGCUUUGAAGAUAGUGAAGGAGCUCGUGUGCAAUCAGAAUAUUGUCGUGAAUCAUCCUUCCCCACACGAAAGCGCUUUGAUUUUGGCUGAUACAGCUAGGUAGAACAAUUUUUAACCGAUUGGCAUAGACCUUUGCGACAAUCUUAUAAACAAACCUGCAUAAACUUAUAGGGCGAAAAUUAGUCAACUCACAAGGGUCUCUAAUUUUAGGAAUUAAAAUGAUCACAGUCUCAUUAAGGUUAGAAACAUUUUUGUUCCCAUUAAGGACAUCCAGAUAGAAAUUAAUGGUAUCGCGUCCCACGAUCUCCCAAUGCUGUUUGAAGAAAUUUCCCGAGAGACCGUCAAUGCCAGGAGCUUUAUUCGGAUUCAUCUGCUUGAUGGCCUGAAGGACCUCAUGCUCCGUAUAGUCCCUCGUAAGCCACUCAUUCGUCUCCCUGGUCACACAUUCCUGAAUAUAGCCCACCUCUUGUAAACCAACCCUUUGACCGUUAGACCUAAACAAGCCCAAAAAAUAGUUUUUCGCCACCUGACUUAUUUCCUUGCUGCUUGUCAUCCAGUUAUCAUCCAUAUCUUUAAGCUUCUCAAUAAAGUUCUUCCAGUUAUCAUCCAUAUCUUUAAGCUUCUCAAUAAAGUUCUUCUUUAGCCGUCCAGUAGCUUUCAAAUGGAAAUAUCUAGUGUUUCGAUCACCCUCCCUAAGCCAUUUUGAUUGUGACCUUUGUGCCCAGUAACUUUCUUCCCUAGCAUAGAGAAAAUCAAGCCUUUUACGAGAUUCUUUUAAAAUUUUCACACUGUUCCCUCUGCUUUUAGAAUCAAUAAUCCGGUCAAUAUUUUACUCCAGACUUCGAAUUUCACUCUUCAUUUUACCAUAUUUCUUGCGUUGCCAAUAGCCAAGCUCCGACCUAACCCUUUCGAUCUUUUCCCCAUAAUCUAUAUCAUCCCUGUUCCACGCACUACCGAUUAUCUUUUUUGCUUCCCUGUCACCAGCCCAACACACAUCAAAUUUGAAGCUCAGCCUAGGGUCAUUAGGGUGAUCUUUGGGUCGACGUCCCCAUAAAUCCAGGAGAAUCGCAUCAUGAUCGGACUGGGAUUGCCUCACCAUUUUAGUAGCUAUAAAGGGGAAGUUUUCAACCAAGGACACCGAGCUAAGGAAUCUAUCAAUCCUUUCCUUAACCAAACCGCCCCCACUCCUAUUAUUAACCCAAGUAAACCAUCCACUGUCGGGUUUGAUAUCCACUAACGCCAAGUCGUCCAUGACAGCUUUAAAUUCAUUCAUUUGCGCCCUCACCCCCCUACGGCCACCCUCUUUCUCAGCGUCAUUCAGAAUUGAGUUAAAAUCCCCCCCUACAACCUAAUCUUCCCUAACCAAAUCCCCAACACGACGUAAAAUAUCCCAAGAGCUGUUUCUAAAGCUCGGAUUAGCAUGCCCAUAGAAACCCGUAACUCUCAUAUUCUUGUUGUUCUCCAAAUUAACAAUGGAGUCAAUGUGGUGUUUGGAGAAGCUCUGAAUGGAAACCUUUGUCCCUUCCUUCCACAUCAGUGCAAGACCCCCACUCCGACCCUCAGAAUUCACAGUUAAGCCAUUUUGCAGCCUGCAUUUAUUUUGAACCCUUCGAAAGUCAUUCCCAUUCAUUUUUGUUUCGCUAAGGAAAAUAAUAUCAGGGUUAUUGCCCCGAUUAAUUACUUGAGCUCCCUAAUUUUCGCGGGGUUUCCCAUUCCACGACAAUUCCAGCACAUGAACUUCAUUUGGAAAACACACCGCCCACAGAACAAAUCCUUUCAGACGCUCAACUCGCCGUUGUAGUGCUUAAAUCUUUUUCCUUCUUGACUCCCGCAAAUCAUCAAAGCAGACUGCAAUAUAUGGGGAGAACACGAAACCGCGUCAACGGGAAUCGGACCAAUUUCCAGAGCCAGAAUUCAUGCAUGAGAUGUGCAAGGACCAUGCAACAGAAACAGGGACACCACCAAGAAGGAAGCCCUAAUGAACGCACAAAGCCUCACCAACCAAGAAACCGCCACCGAACAGACCAAGAAAACCCAAAGAAAUCCAAUCAGAAAAGAAAAAGAGAGAAACGCAACAAAGAAAAAAAUCACAAAUCCAGAAACUAAACACGUAAACGCUGCAUGAAAAAAAACACUUAGAAUGAAAAAAGAAGACGACCUGCUUGCAUGCAGGAACAGCAAAAAACACAUAGAAAAAUCAACCAAAAAUAAAAGAACGCAUCCCCCGUGGGACCCAGAGAGAAGAAAAGCCAAAGAUUGCACAAAAAUUAAGAUCAAGAACGUACAGAAACAAAUAAAAAAAUACAAAUAAACUAGAGAAAAGUAAUUAGAAAGAAUUCACCGUGAGACAUGAGUCCAAAAUCGCUGCAAGAAACGUCAUGUUCGACCUGAGGCACCGUCAGACACUGUUGCAUCACAAACAACACCACCGUGCGACAACCGAAACGAAACAAACGCAGUGGAAAAGCACAAAUAAUCCUCACCAAGCAGAAACGAAAACACACUCAAAACCCACCCAAACUGCCAAUAUAUUCAAACGAAUAAGGCAGACACACAACGAAAAAAAACCAAGAAGCAGAAUCGCCCAAAUCUUGGAGAAAAAUCAAAAACACGCUACACUUUUUUGCUACCAGGCGCUGCUACCAGGCGACGCUACUAGGCAACAUUUGUAUGUCUGAAACGGGGACACUUUUCUUUAGCCCGCACAUCCGAGGCACCAGGGCGAGGCACCCGCACAUCCAACUUCCUAGGUUACCUACGGUGUCUGAGGCUCCCGCACAUCCAAGCACCAAGGUGCCAAUGCUGCUCGAGGCUCCCGUACAUCCGAGCCACCAAGGUGCCGAUGGUGCUCGAGGCUCCCGUACGACCAAGGGCCAAGGUUGCUGAUGGUGCCCGAGGCUCCCGCACAUCCAAGCACCAAGGUACUGAUGGUGUCCGAGGCUCUCGCACGACCAAGGGCCUAGGUUGCCGAUGAUGCCCAAGGCUCUCGCACGACCAAUGGCCUAGGUUGUCGAUGGUGCUCGAGGCUCUCGCACGACCAAUGGCCUAGGUUACCGAUGGCGCCGAGGCUCUCACACAUCCAAGCACCAAGGUGUUUAUGGUCCCCGACGCUCCCGCACAUCCAAGCACCAAAGUGCUGAUGGUGCCCGAGGCUCCCGCACAACCAAUGGCCUAGUUUGUUGGUAGUGUCCGAGGCUCCCGCACAUCAGAGGCACCAAGGUGCCGAUGUUGCGCGAGGCUCCUACACAUCCGAGGCACCAAGUUGUUAAUGCUGCUCGAGGCUCCCGCACAUCCGAGCACCAAGGUGCCGAUGUUCCUUGAAGCUCUCGCACCACCGAUGUCCUAGGCUACUGAUGGCGUCUAAGGCUCCAGCACGUCCAAGCAGUAAUAUGCUGAUGCUCCCGCACCAUUGACGUCCUAGGUUACCAAGGGUGCCUGAUGCUCCGGAACGACCAAGGGCCCAAGGUGCCGGAGGCUCUUGUUCCAAAAGGGGAGAGACCGGGAUGAUUUAAAAGGGGAGGGACCUGGGGAAGGGAUCGAGAUGACUUGUAGCAUCAUUUUCUAUAUUUCAGGAUGGCUCACCGGAGUACUGCCGGGAUGGCUCGUCGAAGCACCGCCGGAAUAGAUCGCCGGAGCACCGCUGAGAACCUAAUCGGCGUUGGGAGGGCACCGACGUCUGGGCAUGAAAUGGGCGUGGGUAGUGCCCUAGACAACCCCUGUUCACCUCAAUAUCACCUCCCCCCUGAAGAGCUAAAAAAACUUGGUCAAUGUGCUAGCAGGCGACAUUCAUGUGUCUGAAACAGGGACACUUUAUGGUGUCGGCACUUCUGCACCAAUGGGGGCCCAAAAUUAGCUUUGGUGCUCGACCCUCCCGCACAUCCGAUGCACCAAGGUGCCGAUGCUGCCCGAUGCUCCGACACAUCAAAGGGGCCGGUUGUGCCAGAUAGCCCCACACCACAGGAUGGCACACGCUGCCGAUAGUGUACGAGGCUACCUCACGAGCGGGGGCCAAAUGUGCCGGAGGCUCUUGUUGCAAAAGGGGAGGGACAGGGAGGAUUCAUUCAUUGUUGGGUACCGGACAUGCAACGGUAUCCGAAUUCUACUUUUGGGAUGAUUCAUUCAUUAUUGGGUACCGAACAUGUAACGGUAUCUGAAUUCUACCUUUGGGGAUUGGGGAGGGACUCGUUGCACCGUUUUGUAUAUCCCAGGAUGGCUCGCCAGAUCAUCACCAAGAUGGAUCGUCGGAGCACUGUCGGGAACCUAACAGGUGGUAGGGGGCACCGACGUCCAGGCAUGCGAUGGGCAUGGGCAAUGCCCCGGAUAACCCCUGUCUACUCAAUAUCACUUCCCCCCUAAAGAGCUAAAAAAACUCGGUUAAUGUGCUACCAGUCGACAUUUUUUUUGAUAAAAACGACCCAAAGGUCAACUUCAAUUUAUUGCAUCGUUAAUGAUAAUACUUUGGAUUUCCAUGGGAUAAUCCAUAUUGAAGUACGAAUUACACUUAUCCUUAAUCGCUAAAUUACAAAGAAAAUCAGCAGCCUUAUUACAACAACGGCCAAUCCAAUUAACUUGGACCGAAUUAAAAUCCUUAAGCUUUUUACAGGCUUUAUUAACACAGCAGCCCAAAAUGGUAAUGUCUUGGUCCCUCUUUUUAAUCGCGUUGACAAGAGACGCACUGUCAGAUUCCAAUAUGAGCUUAUCCACCUUCAGCUUUAAAGCCAGAUUUAAACCUUCCACAAAAGCGUUAAAUUCUGCCCAUUUAACGUCCUGAAUUUUAUCCGCAAAACUAUAGCUACCCCCGACCACAAAGCCAUCAUGGUCUCUGACAAUGGCUCCGUACCCAGCUUUCCCAUCCACAACCACCGCGUCGACGUUAAUCUUAAUAACACCAGCUGGAGGUCUCGUCCACCCUUUACUUAUCAGGGUUAAAGGGAUAACAGGAGGUGCUGCAAAAUUGAAAAUACGGAAAUCUUUGCUGAGAGUCUGCGCUCUUUCCCAAACCACCAUGGCCAUGUCUUCCUUCCCCUGAAAAACCAGAUUGUUUCUGUCAUUCCAGCAGUUCCAGAGGAGAGUGAAAAAAUCAGCCGCUGCUUUUUUGUCCAACACAUGCAAAACAUCUUCCAACCAGUCGAUGCACCCUUCGUAUCUUCCAUCAAUCAGCCUGUUAUUUAUCCCCCCGAUCAUGAGUAUCUCUCGAACUUUAGGGCAAUCUUUCAUAGCGUGGAUGAGCAUUUCCUUCUCGCUAUUGCAUCUGGGGUAGGCUUGCGAGAACUCUUGACGGAUACGAGCAAUAUAAUCGUAGGUAGGCAGAAUAUUGUGACAGAUCCUCCAGCCAAAGACUUUAAUUUUAGGAAGCAUUUUUAACUUCCAUAUAAUUCUCCAAAUCAAUCUGUGAGGGCCGUAGCCUAUUCUUCUAAGUAAUAACCAUGAAUACGCUGAUUUUGAGGUAUAAACCCCAUGAGGGUUUUGGAUCCACGUUCUGCUAUCAUUUAUGCCAUUAUGGAGAAUGGGUAAAUUGCAAAUUAAAUCCCCCAUGUUUUUACCAUAUAGUUCCGUAACCCUACCUUUUUCCACCGCCCAUAAUUGUGGUCCCACAGGUCUUUGACAUUUAUUUCUUUAUUUGUUAAACUUGACCGACAAACCGACUCCCCAUUGAGACCUUCGAUACCCCAGUGAUCCCUACGAAUGUCGAUAGAUUUACCAUCCCCAAUCUGCCACAGAAAGCCAUCCUUGAGGGCGUUAAUCACUUUAGCAAUGCUAGACCAAGUAAAAGAUGGCUUCUCACAAUAUUUUGGUCUAAGCACAUCACCAUCCGGGAAAUAUUUCGCGCUCAGCACCUUAAAGCAUAGAGUCUCCUUACAAUGCAUAAGCCUCCAGACUUGUCUACCAAGGAGAGCAAUAUUAAACAGAUGCAUGUCCUUAAAAUCGAUUCCUCCCAUUCCUUUCGGCUGGCACAUGCGCUCCUAUGCCAGCAUAACCCAUCCCUGAGUUUUUUCGUUAUUCCUCCACCACUGCUUGCACAUUUUCGAAUGUAAUUUCUCGAUAAUGCCUUUUGGAGCAAGAAAGACAGAAAAGGCGUAGGUUGGGAUAGACUGAAUAAUGGCUUUAAUGAAAAUCUCUUUUCCUCUAUAAGAUAGAAGCCGCUUCGACCAUCCAUUAAUCCUGCAAUCACACCGAUCUAAAAUAUUAGUAAAAGAAAGAGAUUUCUUUCUACCAGUAGGUAAUGGUAGCCCAAGAUAAUUAUCUAGUUGGUCAACCAUUCUCAUCCCAAGCUUAGAACAAAAAAGGUGUCUUUGGGCCAGAGGAGUUUUCGGGCUGAACAUAAUCAUAGAUUUAUCAUUAUUAAUUGUUUGACCCGAUGCGCCUGAGAAUUUCGUUAAAAUAUUGACCAUCUCCUCCACAUCCUUGAUUUUGUUACUAAGAAACAAGAGAGCGUCAUCGGCAAAAAAUAAGUGAUUUAUUCGCGGUCCGUUAAUGCUAGCCCUAAUUCCCUUAAGCUUAUUAUUGGUCUGAGCUUGAAUUAACAAUUCAGAAAAAGCUUCCAUGCAAAAAACAAAAAGAUAGGGAGAAAGAGGAUCCCCUUGUCUAAGUCCCCUUCUUGGCACGAUAGUAUCAAACAGGGUUGAGUUGCAUUUGACCAUGUACCGCACCGAUCGAACACAGCUCAUAAUCUUAGUCACCCAAGCCUCUGCAUAGCCCAUUCUUUUCAUCACCUCUUCAAUAAACUUCCAUUCAACUCUAUCAUAGGCUUUGCUCAUAUCGAGCUUGAUCACAAAGCCUUUGUUAGGGCCAUUCUUAGCGCUUUGAAGAUAGUGAACCAACUUGUGAGCGAUCAAGACAUUGUCGUGAAUCAUUCGUCCAGGAACAAAGGUGCUUUGAUUUUGAGUAAUGCAUGUCCGGAGAGUGUCUUUCAACCGAUUUGCCAGAACUUUAGCAACAAUUUUGUAUAUCACCCUACAUAGGCUAAUUGGUCGAAAGUGAGUCAUCUGAAUGGGCUCUUUGAUUUUAGGGAUAAGGACAAUAAUGGUCUCAUUGAGUAACUCCACACUUGUAUCUCCCCUCAAAACUUCAUGACAUAGCUUUAUAAUGUCAUCUCCCACCACCUCUCAAUUUUCUUUGUAGAAAUUUCUGGAUAAACCAUCUAUGCCCGGGGCUUUCCUAUGAUCCAUCUGCUUAAAAGCCUUAAUAAUUUCAUGAUCCGUUUACGCCAUGGUUAAUCUGUCAUUCAUCUCUCAUGAAAUACAAGUAUCAAUAUAGUCAAGAUUUAAUGUUUCAUCCAUAUGUAACGUUGACUCAAAUAGAUUUUGGAAAUACUCCCUGGCAGCCUCGCAAAUAUCCUUUGUAUUCUCCCUCCAGUUGCCAUGCAUGUCCUUCAGCUUUUCAAUUCUGUUCUUCUUUUUUCUGCUGGUAGCCCUCACGUGAAAAAACCUAGUAUUUCUGUCCCACUCUUUCGGCCAUGUAACUCUUGAUCUCUGUGCCCAGUACUGCUCCUCUCUGUCCAGCAGUUUCCUUAGCUUUAUUCUCAUGGCUUUAAGUUUGUUUCCAUCGUACACUUCCACAGGUUUAUCAAUGAGCCUAUUAAUAUUGGACUUAAGCGCAUCAAUCUGUCUUCUCAUUCUCUUGUACCUCUUAAACUGCCACGCUCCCAGGUCAUGUCCCACCUUCUCUAACUUAUCCAUUAUAUCCUCCGUAUCCAUCUUCCAAGCAUUUUUAAUGAUAUUUUUAGCUUCCAGCUCUUUAGCCCAGCAUAUAUCAUAUCUAAACAUAAGCCUAGAAUCCCUUUGCUCUUCUCUAAGCUUUCGACCCUUAGUAUCAAGCACAAUAGCAUUGUGGUCGGAGUUAGACUGUCGAAUAACCUUGGUUUCAGUGAACGGGAAGCUUUCCACAUCACUAGCCGAGAUUAAAAAACGAUCCAAUCUUUCUUUGAUCAUCGCGGUGGCCUAUCGAUUAUUGACCCAUGUGAACCACCCAUUAUCAGUUUUCAAAUCAACCAGAGAUAACUCAUCAGUAACCUCACAAAAUUCGUCCAUUAGGGCCUGCGGUUUCCUCCUACCACCUUCCUUCUCCGAGUUGUCAAGUAUGGCGUUGAAAUCACCUCCAAUAAUCCACUUUUCCUUAACCAAGCUUCCCGCCCUCCUAAGCAUAUCCCACGAGCUUUUUCUCUUGGUAGGAUCGGCGUUCCCAUAAAACCCAGUGAACCGAAUUGGAUUGUCAUUUUCAACUCGAAUCAGAGAGUCAAUGUGGUUGCUGGAAUAGCUUUUGACUUCGAAAUUUGUGCCCUCCUUCCACAUCAUAACCAGCCCACCACUUUUACCACAAGCAUUGACUGCCAGGCAUCCCUCCAUCCUACACUUGCUUCGAAUAGAAGGAAAUUUGUUAAAUUGCACUUUAGUCUCACAUAGAAAAAUAACUUCCGGAUCGUUCGCAACGAGAAGUUACUUUAAUUCGCGGACAGUCAUAGGGUUACCAAUCCCAUGACAAUUCCAGCAAAGAAUCUUCAUAGCUAUAUGCUUGACUGGUCUUCAACCCUCUUUUUGCCAGAUGAAACACAGACCAGCAAACACCUUCUCACUUGAAGAAACUCUUAUUACUAAAAUAGCAUUCUUUCAAGCAACGAAAAUAAAUCAUCAGCCCAUAUGCACCUUGUCACUAAUCAGGAUCAUUCCCUAACUAACCAGCGAGCCCACGAAACGAAGGGAAAGCCAAGAAAGAACCUCCGGACACAGCACUGCCCACGACCCGGUCCUCAACAGAUGCCUUAACUAAACCUGAAAAGAAAGCAGGGACAGCAAAAACAAAAACAAGAAAAACAGAGAACUCGAAAAUCGCAAGGAGAUAGCAAGAAAAUAUCGGAGAACUCCAAAAACACGCCUCACCAACCGCGACAAGAACAUUACAAGAAAAACGCUAAAACCCUGUACAGGCCACCUGAUUGAGGGCACGACUCAUCCAAAGAACCAUAUCAGCCUCCGGACAGAACCCACCACCAGCAAAUCCACCCCAAACAAUCAAGAAGGAGAGAAAAAGCAAGAAAGCAAAAACAAGUAAUAACGCGCAUCAACAGGAGCACCACCACCAAAACGAUCUCGUGCGAAACCACAAAAGUCUCAAUGAGCCAAGAAGCAGCCACGAACAGAUAGACAAACACCCAGAAAGAAGACAAAGAAAAAAUCAACAGGAAAUAAAGAAAAACAAUAGACUUAAAGGAAUUACUGUACAUAAAACACAACUCGUAAGCCCUGCAUGCAUGAAGCAUACACGUUGUUUGGGGGGAAACGAAAACCGUCUUUCAUGCAGAAACAAACGAAAAAAGAACGUAGAAAAUUCAAAGAAAGAGAAUAGAACCUAGCCACCGUGGGACCCUCAACCUAAUAACUUGUAAACAUGCAGAAAUGCAAAUAUCAAGAUACCGGAUAAAACCAAAUAAAAAAUUCAUAAGACCAAACAAAAGUAAUCGGAAAAAGUUCAUCGUAGGACACGAAGCAAAACACGCUGCAAGAAACGUCCCGUCUGACCAGAAGAACCGUCAGGCCCUAUCGCUUCACCAUAAAAGCACCGUACGGCCACAGAACGGAAAAAAACAAAUAGAAAAGAGUAAAUCAAACCUCACAAUCAAAAUGAAACACGCUCAUAACCCACAAAAACUGCCAUAAUAUUCAAACGAAUAAGGCAGACCCACAAAACGAAAAGCAAGAACAGGCUACCAGUUGACAUUCUUUUUUUUUUGAAAGAAAACGACCCAAGGGUCUACCUCAUUUUAUAGCAUCAUGAAUAAUAAAAUUAUGGAUCUCCAUCGGAUAAUCCAUAUCAAAGUACAAAUCACCCUUAUUCGUAAUUGCUAAAGUACUCAAAAAAUCCGCAACCUUAUUACAAAGACGAUGGACCCAAUUGAUUUGGACCGAAUUAAAGUUUUUAAAUUCUUCGCACACUUGCGUAGUGCGCUGACCCAGAAUGGUAAUAUCCUGCGCCCGCCUGUUGACCUUGUUGACCAGCAUUACAUUAUCCGAUUCCAAAAUAAGCUGUGUUGCCUUUAGCUUUUUAGCCAUCUUUAAACCUUCAGUCAACGCCUGCAGCUCAGCCCAGCACACAUCCAUCGCUUCGGCCCGAAACUUAUAACAUCCCCCCAUGACAAAACCAUCGUUGUCUCUUACGACAACGCCAAAACCACUGCACCCAUCCGAAAUGGCAGCAUCCACAUUUACCUUGAUGUAACCAGUCGGAGGCGCUUUCCAAACCCUGUUCAUCGGAGUCGAGGGAAUAACAGGUGGCUCAGUCAAAUUAAAAAUUCUAAAAUCUGUACUCAGCGCUUGCGCCCUUUCCCAAAUCAGAAACGCAUCGUCCAUCUUGCCUUUAAAAACCAUAUUAUUCCUAUCGUUCCAACUGUUCCAGAGAAGGGUUAAGAAGUCAGCAGCAGCCUUUUUGUCAAGCUCUCUAAACACAUCUUCCAGCCAGUCAAUACACUCGGUGUAAUCCCCUUCCAGUAAUUUAUUGUUUAAACCCCCAGCAACAAGGAUUCCUCGGGCCUUUGGGCAGUCUUUUAACGCGUGAAUCAGCGACUCAUCUUUGCUUUGGCAUCUCGGACAAAUAUUAAUAAAACCCUGACGAAUCCGAGCAAUAUUAUCAAAAGUUGGAAGGAUGUUAUGUCCGAUCCUCCAGCUGAAAAUUUUUAUCUUCGGAAGCAUCUUAAGUUUCCAAAUGGCUCGCCAAAAAAACGGUGAGGGCCGAAUCCGACUUCCUUAAGAAUCAGCCAAGAAUAAGCCGACUUGGACGUGUAAAUACCAUGCGGAUUUUGGAACCACGUCCGGGUGUCUUUAAUAUUAUUAGGAGGAAUGGGCAAAUUGCAUAUGCACUCCCCCAAAUAAUCCCCAUAAAUCUCUUUCACCCUUUCCCUUUUCUUGGUCCCACAGGUCUUUGACUUUUCUUUCAUUAUCAUUGAGAGGAGACCGACAAACCGACUCUCCAAAGAUUCCAUUCAGCCCCCAAUGCUCACGUCUAAGAUCAAUCCUAUUGCCAUCUCCCACUUGCCAAAUAAAACCAUCCUUAAGCGCAUCUACUGCCUUGGCUAUGCUAGCCCAGGUGAAUGAAGGCUUGUCGCACCGCUUAUAACUGAACACGUCCGCUUCAGGGAAGUACUUCGCACAUAGGACUUUAAAACAUAGAGUGUCCUGCUGAGACAUAAGUCUCCAAACCUGUCUCCCCAAAAGAGCCAGGUUGAAGAGAUGUAGGUUUCGAAAGCCCAUGCCACCCAUACCCUUCGGAUGACACAUUUUCCUCCACGCCAUCAUUGCCCAACCCCGCAUCUUGUCGUUGUUUGUCCACCACAUCCUUCCCAUCUGUGAAUGGAGUUCCUCUAUAGUGCCUUUUGGAGCCAAGAACACCGAAAAUGCAUAGGUCAGAAUGGCCUGGAUAAUCGCCUUGAUAAAGACCUCUUUCCCACCGUAAGAAAGCAAGUGUUUUGACCAGCUUUUAACCCUGCAAGUACACCUAUUGAUAAUGUCAGUGAAAGCUAAAGAUUUCUUCCUACCAACAGGAAGUGGAAGUCCAAGAUAACUAUCAAGCUUUUCGACAGUCCGCAUGCCAAGCAAGGAGCUAACCGAAAGUCUACUAUCCCUAGGGGUUUUAGGGCUAAACAAAAUCAUGGAUUUAUCCUUAUUAAUCUCUUGGCCCGAAACCCUACUAAAAUGAGCUAUAAUACUCACAAGCUCCUCAACAUCUCUUUUUUUAUUACGAACAAAGAGAAGAGCGUCAUCAGCAAAAAAUAGGGGAUUAAUACGGGGCCCAUUUCUACUAGCUCUAAUUCCCUUAAUCAUAUUAUUAUACUGGGCACGAAAUAGCAGUUUAGAAAAAGCUUCCAUGCAAAAUAAAAAUAGAUAAGGAGAAAGAGGAUCCCUUGUCUCAGGCCACGCUCUGGCAUAAUUGUAUUGGAUAGGAUAGAAUUGCACUUGACAAAUAACGAACUGAUCUAACGCAUCUCAUAAUCUUCGACACCCAAUAGUUAGUGUAGCCCAUUUUCUUCAUCACCUCUUCGAUAAAGUUCCACUCCACCCGGUCAUAAGCCUUGCUCAUGUCAAGCGUGACCACAAACCCUUUAUUAGGACCAUUCUUCGUACUCUGAAGAUAAUGGACAAGCUCGUGAGCAAUCAAAAUGUUAUCGUGGAUCAUCCUCCCCGGAACAAAGGCACUUUGAUUUUGGCUGAUGCAUAACGGAAGCGUUUCCUUCAACCGGUUGGCAAGCACUUUCGCAACAAUUUUGUAAAUCACCCUACAAAGGCUGAUGGCCUAAAAUUAGUCAUAUCCACAUGAUCCUUAAUCUUAGGGAUUAAAACAAUAAUGGUAUCAUUUAAACAAUCCACAUCUUUAACACCCCUAAGAAUAUCCAGGCAAAGAUUAAUAACAUCCGCUCCAACAACGUCCCAAUUUUCUUUGAAGAAAUGCCCUGACAAACCAUCAAUUCCGGGAGCUUUCCUAGGAUCCAUUUGAUUAAAGGCCUCCAUGAUUUCGCUCUCUGUAAAAUCCUGUAACAACCGGUCAUUUACCGUCCCUGAAAUGCAUUUCUCUAUAUAGUCCAGAUUAAGCUCACUGUUAGAAUUUAAAUUUGACUUAAACAAGAGUUGAAAAUACUCCCUGAUAGCUUUGCAAAUAUCCACAUUAUUAUCCCUCCAACUGUCGUUGGUGUCUUUAAGUCUAGCAAUAUUGUUUUUUUUCCUCCUGUUAGUAGCCCUGACAUGAAAAAACCGAGUAUUCCUAUCCCCUUCCUUUAACCACAUAACCCUCGACCUUUGAGCCCAGAAUUUUUCCUCAGUAUCCAGUAAAUUACCCAGCUUUAACCAAACAGCCUUAAGCUUCUUGCCCUCGUUAUCGCUCCCCUGGCCAUCAAUAAGUCUAUUAAUAUCCGCCUGCAGAGAACCAAUUUGAUUCCGCAGUUGUUUUAACUUCUUAUACUGCCACCUUCCAAGCUCUUUUCCCACAUUCGUAAUCUUCUCCAUAAUAUCUUGAUUCCCACGCUGCCAAACUCCCUUGAUAAUCGUUUUAGCAGCUUCAUUUCUAGCCCAACAAACCUCAUACCUAAAGCAAAGCCUAGGAUCCAUAGGGCCAUCUCUCGGUCUCCUACCUUCGGUAUCUAAACUGAUCGCAUCAUGGUCAGAGCUAGAUUGCCGAAUCACCCUAGUUUCCAGGAACGGGAAGCUAUUCACAGCAUUGGCUGACAUAAGGAAGCGAUCCAGCCUCUCUUUGACUCUAGCAGAACCCUCCCUAUUGUUAACCCAAGUAAACCACCCAUUGUCAGUUUUUAAGUCCACCACCGCUAAUUCGUCAACAAUCGUGCGAAACUCCUCCAUAAGAACCUUAGGCUUUCUCCUACCCCCAUCUUUUUCCGCCUCAACCAAAAUAGCAUUGAAGUCGCCCCCGAUAAUCCACUUCCCAGUAACAGUUUGACCAACCCUUUUAAGCAUAUUCCAGGAAUUCUGUCUUCUAUUCGGAUCAGCAUUUCCAUAAAAGCCAGUGAAACGAAUAGGGCUCUCAUUCUUCAUAUGUACCAAAGCAUCAAUAUGGUUGCUGGAAUAGGUUUGAAUCUCAACCUUCUUACUUUCUUUCCACAUCAUAACCAGCCCCCCACUCUUGCCUUCCGCAUUCACAGCUAAACAACCUUCCAUUCUACAUCUCCUGCGAACAAAAUCAAAUCUAUUAGCACUAACCUUAGUCUCACAAAGGAAAAUUAUAUCCGGAUCAAUAGCAACAAGGAGUUGCUUCAAAUCACGAACUGUCGCAGGGUUCCCAACCCCACGACAGUUCCAACAAAUGAUCUUCAUUGUGCAGGGCGAGGCUGGUCACCAGCCACCGCCUGAACAGGUGAAACACUUUCCAUUAAUCUCCUCUUAACGUUUUUGGACGGGCUUUCUUCAAAGCUAUUUCCAUUCAACAUCCUCAUUCGCUUUCUUUUAUGCUUGAACCGUCCCAUACUAUCCCGAAUUGGCUUAUUGAUUCUUUGUUCCACCGGGGAUGUCGUUAUCGAGGCUUCUUCACCUUCCUUCUCAUUACUUUUCAGACCAGAGUACCCACUUUCAACUUUAGAAUUUGUUUGACUCUCCUCCUUAUCUGCAGUCGUAUUGGUGUUUUCCUUAACAAUUUCCACCCCAUUUCUUCUCCUGUUCCUGUCCUGAGUCGGGUUCACAAAUGGAACCCUCAUCCAACUUCCAUACUGCAGGUUUGAAUCCUCUAUCACAUCACCCGCCCUAUUGUUUUGACACCUUCUAGUGGUAUGUCCUAUCAACCCACACAAAUAACAAAAGUCAGGGAGCCGCUCGUACUUUAUAACCCCUAUCAUUUCUUCACCAGCAUCGCUCACGAACUUCACCACCCUCCUCAAAGGUUUUGAGAUAUCUAUUUUAACUUUUAGCCUCAUAAACUCAGUCCACGCCCCAUUCCUAUCCUUCCAAUCUAUAGCCAUCAAAGCACCUAUGGCAUUCCCCACAUCCAGUGCCAGUUGACGAUCCAUGAAUUCUAUAGGAAUAUUAUAAACUCGUAGCCAAAAAGGCGAUAGCCAAAACUCGUAAUCAGCUAUGUUCUUUCCCUUGACAAAUGGGACCAUUGAAAAUAAGCAUUUAUCAAAUAGCCAAGGCAUAAGAUUGAGGAUUCGACUCCGAUCCUCCAAGCAUCCAAAUUUUACUAUGACAGCCCCUUCUUUCAACGCAACAAAGUCCACCUCUUCCUUAGUAUACCACAAGGACCUGAACACUCUGUACAUUUCUUCUCUGUUCGGAUGCUCAUUUGCCAUAAUCUUGCCUACGACACAUGAGUCGAAUCAUUGGGCGUUUUUACCGUUCUUUAUGCAUUUAACUUGGACAG